UUUCCGUUGGUGAACCAGCGGAGGGAUCAUUACUGAGUUAUCUAACUCCCAAUCCCAUGUGACAUUACCAUUUGUUGCAUCGGCAGAGCCUACCCGGUAACUGUUCGGAGAAGCUACCCUGUAGCUACCCUGUAACGGCCUACCCUGUAACGCACUGCCGGUGGACUUUUAAACUCUUGUUAUUUUAUAGUAAUCUGAGCGUCUUAUUUUAAUAAGUCAAAACUUUCAACAACGGAUCUCUUGGUUCUGGCAUCGAUGAAGAACGCAGC
rnacentral:misc_RNA from 1 species